UACGUAGGGCGCAAGCGUUAUCCGGAAUUAUUGGGCGUAAAGAGCUCGUAGGCGGUUUGUCGCGUCUGCCGCGAAAGUCCGGGGCUCAACUCCGGAUCUGCGGUGGGUACGGGCAGACUAGAGUGAUGUAGGGGAGACUGGAAUUCCUGGUGUAGCGGUGAAAUGCGCAGAUAUCAGGAGGAACACCGAUGGCGAAGGCAGGUCUCUGGGCAUUAACUGACGCUGAGGAGCGAAAGCAUGGGGAGCGAACAGG
rnacentral:rRNA from 1 species